rnacentral:rRNA from 1 species
UACAGAGGUGGCAGGCGUUGUUCGGAAUUACUGGGCGUAAAGGGCGCGUAGGCGGCCUUCUAAGUCAGACGUGAAAUCCCCCGGCUUAACCUGGGAACUGCGUCUGAUACUGGGAGGCUUGAGUAUGGGAGAGGGAUGUAGAAUUCCAGGUGUAGCGGUGAAAUGCGUAGAUAUCUGGAGGAAUACCGGUGGCGAAGGCGGCAUCCUGGACCAUAACUGACGCUGAGGCGCGAAAGCGUGGGGAGCGAACAGG